CUCCGGCUGCGGUCCGACUCGC
rnacentral:miRNA from 2 species